GAAGAGCUGGGAUUUCGGUUCUGGGAUCUCCCCAAAAAGACGCGGGUAUUUUCCAAGUCCACAAAGCACGUAGAUUGAUUGGCCAGAUUUCCAUGGACACCCCAGAAGGCAGAACGUAUAGCGCAAGAUUUACGGCUCAUAGAAAUACUUGAAAAGAUCUCAAUCAUAGGUAUAUUUUUCAAACUGUUCUGUUCCGUUGUUUCUACGGCCAGAAUGAAAGCCACGCGGCUCCUCCUGAAUCUGAGAUUAGACUUCCUGAGAAUAGUACGAUUCCCUUUUUGGCAUAAAAUACCUUUUAAAGCACACAGCCUGAUCCAAAUGGGUUGGUGUAUUUUCUCCUUCGCAGUUCCUGGUUAUUUAUGUGACUGGCAACGGACGAGACUUUUAUGAUGAGCAGGAGAGAGGACGAGUUGAGGAUUUUGGACGGGAAAGGAUAGCAUUAGUGGGGAUAACAUAACACAGUGGACAGAACCCGAAUGCAUGUGUUUAAUUGCAGGAUUGAAAUUAACUGGCUUGGAUUUCACUGCUGAACUUUCGGAUCAUAACUUGGGGAAAGUUAAGUGCCUAUACGCAACUCGCUAGUGAAAAUACAGUCGACUGUUUUAUGCGGUGCUUUGUGAUUUCCAACAUGUGCUUCUUUAGUUCUGAAAAACAGCGACAGCUGUGUGUUGUACCACAACGCCGUCACCUUGUUUGAGAUCUGCGGGUGAACUUUCUGCUUGUGCGUUAGAAUGGUCGGGUGGUCUUUAAAUGCGACCCCCCUGAGGAACCUCUAUUUGCAUUUGUUUGUAUAAGAUGAAAACAACCUAGAGUGAGAUUCAUCUUGUCUGGGAAGAGGACAUCGGGGUGACUGGGUGGCCCUUUUAAUUCCUACGGUUCAAUACAAUAUAAGUAUCGAUUUAGUAUUAUUUAACAUUCGGGGUCUGAUUCUGUGUUCGACAUUUGACCGUCGUGUUGUUAUUCGAAAGAGAUAAUUGAAGCUGUCAUUGAGUCACUCUUUGGACACCAUUAUUUAUUAUUGCGGGUAAUUGGGAGUGUGCUGCGGCUAUGGAUGAUAAUGCCGUCAUCUUACAGUUAAGUGUCAAAAUUUGAAAAAGAUUGUUUGCAAACAACGGUCACAAAAAUAAACAUUGUUGAAUGAGGCUUUGAAAUUUACACUGUCGGCCAUUAUUGUUUAUAUUAUACAGAAACAAUAAUAUAUAUAAUAUACAUUAAUAUGAUAUAUUUAUAUCAUAUUCAUAGAUCGUUUUAUUAUAUAUUUUUUCACUUUUAAGUGUUGUGCUGAGUGACAAGUGAAACAGAAUGUUCCAUUCCGCCGAUAUAUCUCAUUUUCCCCCUGAUUCAUUGUCACUUUCAUCACCCCCGUCCGUCCCCGCCCCAAUGAAUAGGCAUUCAAGCCAUUUACAAGCCUUACUUCAUUUGAUUAUUUCCUGCCAAACGCGGCUCUCGCAGCAUGAUUGAAAAGAAGAAAAGGUUCGAACUAAUCCAUUCCACUCUCAUUUUCUCUCGCUUUCACACCGCCGCCGAUUACACAAAGGAUCCUCUGUGAGAGGAGACUCGGCGUGCCAGUCAACGGAGAAGUUGGGGGGUGCGCAGUUGUUUGCAUCGCAGCCUGCUUUAGGGUUAAAGUCAACAUUGUGUCCGGGCUCAUUCCGGGUAUACGUGACUGCACACCAGUCUAGGCCCCGCCCACCUAUGACCUUUAUUGUUGUUGUUUGGAGAAAUGCUGAAAAGGAAUAUUUACAACUUGUACACUGGCCAGCCACAAAAUCAAAUCCACUUGGAAAAUUUAAUGACACUCACAAUAGAAGAAUUGUUAGAGAAAAUUGCUCCAUUUUAAAUAACUGCCUGAAAGCUAUUGAUUUAAAAAUCUCGCUUAUUUGAUGGAAAUUUGCUGCGAUGAAGAGACUUGCCUGACACGCUCUUGGUAAUAUUUUGAUUUCUUUGUUUAACAAUAUGAGAAAAGCAGCGAGUUCAAGACAAUAAACUGUGUUAGGCAAUAUGAUUAGAUUGUAUCCUUAGGCACAGCAUGUAUUUUGGAAACAGGCUCUGGAAUAAUAACACGAAAAAGAGAACUACUGUCUACAUUAUCUAAUUGAUCAAUUAGAUGAUGGAUUCAUUUCCCUCCAUUAGCCCUGCUGGUUCAAGUUGGGCCAGCGUCUGCUUGCAAUCAGCAAAUGCAUGUUGAGAGCCUACUUUGUUUGGAGUUGGACGCGCUUCCCGGUGACCCCACGCAACAACGCUUCAUUCAUCGGCCGUGAUAAUUCUCUUUGGUUUGUUUCUAAUAAACUGUAAACAUUU